UACGAGGGGGCAAGCGUUGUCCGGAAUUAUUGGGCGUAAAGAGCUUGUAGGCGGUUUGUCGCGUCUGCUGUGAAAAUUUCGGGGCUCAACCCCGAACUUGCAGUGGGUACGGGCAGACUAGAGUGUGGUAGGGGAGACUGGAAUUCCUGGUGUAGGCGGUGAAAUGCGCAGAUAUCAGGAGGAACACCGAUGGCGAAGGCAGGUCUCUGGGCCACUACUGACGCUGAGGAGCGAAAGCGUGGGGAGCGAACAGG
rnacentral:rRNA from 1 species